rnacentral:tRNA from 8 species
AUCCGAGUGCUGGAAUAGGUAGACAGGGUAUUCUUAAACAAUACUGAUGAAAUUUCGUAAACGUUCAAGUCGUUUUUCGGAUA